rnacentral:rRNA from 1 species
GACGAACGCUGGCGGCGUGCUUAACACAUGCAAGUCGAACGGAAAGACCCUGCUUUUGUGGGUUGCUCGAGUGGCGAACGGGUGAGUAACACGUGAGUAACCUGCCCUUGACUUUGGGAUAACUUCAGGAAACUGGGGCUCAUACCGGAUAGGAGCUCCUGCUGCAUGGUGGGGGUUGGAAAGUGUCGGCGGUUGGGGCUGGACUCGCGGGUUAUCAGCUUGUUGGUGGGGUAGUGGCUUACCAAGGCUUUGACGGGUAGCCGGCCUGAGAGGGUGAACGGCCACAUUGGGACUGCGAUACGGCCCAGACGCCUACGGGAGGCAGCAGUGGGAAAUAUUGCACAAUGGGCGGAAGCCUGAUGCAGCAACGCCGCGUGCGGGAUGACGGCCUUCGGGUUGUAAACCGCUGUCGCCUGUGACGAAGCGUGAUUGACGGUAAUGGGUAAAGAAGCACCGGCUAACUACGUG